CGGCUGAGGGACACUUGCCUCGCCUCGGGUGCAGGCAGCGCGGCAGGGUCCAGGCCCCCCGUCCCGCUGUAGUUUCAGUGGGGCUGUGCAGGGCAGAGGGGAUGAUUUAUUUAAGAGAAGCGUUUGGUAAGAGUGUCCUCCGAGUACGGCAUCAAUCUUGGAGCCAUUUCAACUUGAAGCUGUGAUCGUGUACAAAGCACAAGUGUGCUUCAAAAAACUGCAUCAAAACUUAGAAAUCCCCCAAAUGAAGACUCUCAGCAAGGAACUAAGAGGGCCUGGAGGGUGCUGCUGUGAGAGCACUGCCCUCCCUGAGCGCUGAAGCACGGUCGGCUCUGUCCUUCCGCUACUGAAACACGUACAAGAGGCUUCUGUGAAGUCGCUGCAAGGGUCAGUGGAGGCCUGGGCGGGCAGGAGGGUGCCUGCUCAGGGCAGGACUCGAGUCUUCUGCUCCCAACCUGCUCCGUCCCUUCUGCGGGGACGGUCUCUGCCCCUACAGGUUGCUGAUGCUGUGGGGAGGGGGCGCUUUCUAAGGGACAGGGAACCGUGUCCAACUCUGUCCAUCAGCAGGGUAAGCGGUUGUGCAGAGAGGGUAAGCAUUCUCCUGCUUACAUGUUUCAAAGAUGUUUGUGGCAGAAAUCUUUGCUUUUCUGAAGAAAUCUGUAAUUCUUAUGGAAGUAGGAUAUUUUUUAAUAUAUGCUGAUACAGUUUGGUGAUACUUAUGUGAGAUACAGGUGACUAAUAUGUUUCUUUGGGACAUGUAUAGGGUGACUGUAACUGGAAAACAAAAGCUUGAUAUUUCCAUUUUUGAAGAGCACAUGUCUGAACUGCAG